rnacentral:rRNA from 1 species
UGGGGAAUUUUGGACAAUGGGGGAAACCCUGAUCCAGCCAUCCCGCGUGUGCGAUGAAGGCCUUCGGGUUGUAAAGCACUUUUGGCAGGAAAGAAACGUCGCGGGUUAAUACCCCGCGAAACUGACGGUACCUGCAGAAUAAGCACCGGCUAACUACGUGCCAGCAGCCGCGGUAAUACGUAGGGUGCAAGCGUUAAUCGGAAUUACUGGGCGUAAAGCGUGCGCAGGCGGUUCGGAAAGAAAGAUGUGAAAUCCCAGAGCUUAACUUUGGAACUGCAUUUUUAACUACCGGGCUAGAGUGUGUCAGAGGGAGGUGGAAUUCCGCGUGUAGCAGUGAAAUGCGUAGAUAUGCGGAGGAACACCGAUGGCGAAGGCAGCCUCCUGGGAUAACACUGACGCUCAUGCACGAAAGCGUGGGGAGCAAACAGGAUUAGAUACCCUGGUAGUCCACGCCCUAAACGAUGUCAACUANCUGUUGGGGCCUUCGGGCCUUGGUAGCGCAGCUAACGCGUGAAGUUGACCGCCUGGGGAGUACGGUCGCAAGAUUAAAACUUAAAUGAAUUGAC